CUCCUCCCCAGGCCGCCCACCCAAGCAACCUCUCGUUCCUCUCUGGGCUUUUUCUCUGAGCGCCGAAGCCAAGUGCUACGCGGUACGCAGGCGCCGGUCGGACGCCGCCUCCGGACCCGGUGUGGCGGCGAGGCCACGUGGUGGGCCUUUUAAAGACCGCGGCGGGAUUGAGCCAGGCUAGGCUGAGGAGUGGCAGAAAGGGGAAAUAAAAGACAAACUUCAGGAAGGUCAAAGGCAAAUAAAUGAAGUUUGGGAAACACUGCUUUAAGUCAAGACUGCUCACUCUGGACCUGCUCACUCACUCUGGACCAUCCCAGCAGGCAGAUGAAAGCUGAUGGCUAGGCCUGUCUCCAAAGCAUGUAAGAAUUGUGAAAGGUCAUUUGGAAUGGCUGUGAAGAUGCAGACUGUGAAGGGCACAUCAGGAUUUUGGUCUGUGUCCAGGGUACAGCCCAAGGAGAAGGAUCAUCAUUUCUGAGGGAAGCCUGCUGUCAUGCUAUGAGGACACCUAGUCAGCCUUUGGAGAGGUUUGUAUGAUGAGAAACUGAGGCCUCUUGCCAACAGCCACUACCAACUUUCCAGCCAUGUGCAUGCAGCAUCUUAGAGAGGACCCACCAGCCCAGUCAAACCCUCAGAAGACUGCAACUCUGGCUGACAUUUUGAUUAUAACCUCAUGAAUGACUCCUGAGCCAGAGCUGACCAGCAAAUCCUGUCCUAAAUUCUUAAUCCACAGAAACUGUGUGAGACGUAAAUGCUUAUUGUUGGUGCAAGCUUCUGUUUUGUGUUAAUUUGUUAUGCAGCCUGAAAUAACUGAUACACACUGUGCCACUGUCUUCUACUUGUUGAGAGGUCUGAAGUACUUCUGCUUCCUGAUUCUUCAUUUGAUUUCUUUCCUUCCUUCUUUCUUUCCUCUCCUUUUCUCCCCUCACCUUCCCUCCCCUCUCUUUCUCCCCUCCUCCACUUAUAAACCUUCUGUUUGUAUCCAGGGUCUUAACGUUUCCCCAACACUUCAUAAUAAUAUGCUUAGUAUGGGAUUUUUUAAAAAUCCUUUUUAUAAACCUUUUAGAUGGAAACUCAUAUUUUCACUGGGGAAUUCUCCAGUAAUUUUGGUGACUUUCUCCCUCCAUCGUUUUUAACUCCUAUCAUUAAGAUGGUGGGCAUCUUUGACUGACUUUCUAAUCUCUUCUCUUCCAUUUUUCAUUUCUUUUUAAUUCUGUUUUCUGGGGAGUAUAUUUAUAUUCUGAAUUUUCUUUUGAGUGUUUUACUUGAACUCUGUUGGACUUUAAAUUGCUAAAAUCUCUCUUUUAUGUCUAAAUGUUUGUUUUUAUAUUAUUCAGCAUUUGUUUUAUGUGAUCUCUUUUCUUACUCUCUGAAGAUAUAUAUUUCUGUGUGUAUUAAAAAGAUUUUUAUUGAGAUAUAAUUCACACAACAUGCAAUUCACCCAUGGAAAGGCACAAUUUAAUGGUUUUUGGUAUAUUCACAGAGGUGUGUGGUCAUCACCACCAUGAAAUUUAGAAUAUUUUCUUCAUCCCCAAAAUGAACUCUGUACUCCUUAGCUACCACUCUGCAAACCCCUUAUCUUUACUCCAGACC